rnacentral:rRNA from 1 species
CCUACGGGUGGCAGCAGUGGGGAAUAUUGGGCAAUGGACGCAAGUCUGAACCAGCAACGCCGCGUGAAGGAAGAAGGCUUUCGGGUUGUAAACUUCUUUUUAGGGGGGAGAGAAGAAGACGGUACCCCUUGAAUAAGCCACGGCUAACUACGUGCCAGCAGCCGCGGUAAUACGUAGGUGGCAAGCGUUGUCCGGAUUUACUGGGUGUAAAGGGCGUGCAGCCGGUGAGACAAGGCAGAUGGGAAAUCCACGGGCUCAACCCUUGUACUGCCUUUGAAACUGUUUACCUUGAGUGUCUGAGAGGUAAUCGGAAUGCGUUGUGUAGCGGUGAAAUGCGUAGAUAUAAGGAAGAACACCAGUGGCGAAGGCGGAUUACUGGACGAUAACUGACGGUGAGGCGCGAAAGCGUGGGGAGCAAACAGGAUUAGAUACCCCUGUAGUC